GGGAAGAGGAAGUGGGGGAGGUCUGGCCUGGAGGGGAAAAUUAAGGGGCUGAUUAAAGUGAGGCUGACCCUGAAAAAUGAACAGUAUUCCAUCCACAUAAGACAGAAAGCUCAGGAGACGUUAUUAGUCAUGGUCCCCACCCAAUGACAGUGACUUGUCCACCAUGGAGAUGCUGGCCGCGGUGAUGGAGUGGAAAUGAACCCCAGGCCAGGCCCCCACCCAGCUCCACCCUGAGCAGCUGCAUGUGGUUGAGCAGGUCCUUUAACUUCUUUGGGCCUGCCUCUUUAAACUAUCAGUAAAAUUGUCAUGAGGAUUAAAUGAGGUCAGCAAAGCAAGUCCCUGGAGGAAGUGCAGGUGGGAGAAGUGGGUGAGGAAUUCCCUGGGAGGUGGUAAUCAAGACCACACCAAGUGCCCGGGGCAGGUUGGGGGCCCUAUAAAGGCUCCUGGAGUGGCUCUGCCUGUGGACUAGGGCUCAGCCUCCUCUCCUGGGGUCCAGCUGGCUGCCUCUGGCUCACCCGUUCCUAGAGCAAUGUCUUCCCAGCAGCAGCAGCAGCAGCAGCAGCAGUGCCCACCCCAGAGGGCCCAGCAGCAGCAAGUGAAGCAGUCUUGUCAGCCGCCCCCUAUUAAAUGUCAAGAGACAUGUGCACCCAAAACCAAGGAUCCAUGUGCUCCCCAGGUCAAGAAGCAAUGCCCACCGAAGGGCACCAUCAUUCCAGCCCAGCAGAAGUGUCCCUCAACCCAGCAAGCCUCCAAGAGUAAACAGAAGUAAGGAUGGACUGGAUAUUACCAUCAUCCACCAUCCUGGCUACCAGAUGGAACUUUCUCUUCUUCCUUCUCCUCUUCCCUCCAGCUCUUGAGCCUACCCUCCUCUCACAUCUCCUCCUGCCCAAGAUGUAAGGAAGCAUUGUAAGGAUUUCUUCCCAUCAUACCCUUCCCCACACAUACCACCUUGGCUUCUUCUAUAUCCCACCCUGAUGCUCUCCCAGAUGGGUGUGAGAGAGACCUCAUUCUCUGCAGGCUCCAGCAUGGCCACAGCUAAGGCCCAUCCAUUUCCCAAAGUGAGGAAAGUGUCCUAUCAUUGUUGGACAUUCGGGUUGGUUCCAAGUCUUUGUUGGGUUCUUCUGGGGUUCCACCCUGACAAGUAGGGUCACAGAGGCUGGUGCACAGUUUCUGCCUCAUUCCUCUCCAUGAUGCCCCCUGCUCUGGGCUUCUCUCCUGUUUUCCCCAAUAAAUAUGUGCUUCAUGUAAUAAAUGUG